rnacentral:rRNA from 1 species
AUUGAACGCUGGCGGCAGGCCUAACACAUGCAAGUCGAGCGGAUGAAGGGAGCUUGCUCCUGGAUUCAGCGGCGGACGGGUGAGUAAUGCCUAGGAAUCUGCCUGGUAGUGGGGGAUAACGUCCGGAAACGGGCGCUAAUACCGCAUACGUCCUGAGGGAGAAAGUGGGGGAUCUUCGGACCUCACGCUAUCAGAUGAGCCUAGGUCGGAUUAGCUAGUUGGUGGGGUAAAGGCCUACCAAGGCGACGAUCCGUAACUGGUCUGAGAGGAUGAUCAGUCACACGGGAAAUGAGACACGGCCCAGACCCCUAGGGGAGGCAGCAGUGGGGAAUAUGGGACAAGGGGGGAAAGCCUGAUCCAGCCAGGCCGGGUGUGUGAAGAAGGUCUGCGGAUUGUAAAGCACUUUAAGUUGGGAGGAAGGGAAGUAAGUUAAAACCUGGCUUUUUUGACGUUACCAACAGAAAAAGCACCGGCUAACUUCGU